rnacentral:rRNA from 1 species
GCUUACGGCCACACCUCCCUGAGCACGCCGAUCUCGUCUGCUCUCGGAAGCUAAGCAGGGUCGGGCCCGGUUAGUACUUGGAUGGGUGACCGCCUGGGAAUACCAGGUGCUGUAAGCC